GUCCAUUCGGGGACAUUCGAUCAAAUUGGAACGAUACAAAGACCAUUUGCUUGGCUUUUAUGCAAAGAUGACACUAACAAAUCAAGAGAAAAAAAAAACUAAA
rfam:Cucumis melo, WGS project CAJI01000000 data, contig: 03852